UACGUAGGGUGCAAGCGUUGUCCGGAAUUAUUGGGCGUAAAGAGCUCGUAGGCGGUUUGUCGCGUCUGCUGUGAAAACUCGGGGCUUAACCCCGGGCCUGCAGUGGGUACGGGCAGACUAGAGUGCGGUAGGGGAGACUGGAAUUCCUGGUGUAGCGGUGAAAUGCGUAGAUAUCGUAAGGAAGACCAGUGGCGAAGGCGGGUCUCUGGACAGUUCCUGACGCUGAGGCACGAAGGUCAGGGGAGCAAACGGG
rnacentral:rRNA from 1 species